UCGAGGACGAACGCUGGCGGCGUGCCUAACACAUGCAAGUCGAGCGGAGAUAUAUUGAAGGUUUACCGGAUAUAUAUCUUAGCGGCGGACGGGUGAGUAACGCGUGGGCAACCUGCCUUAUACAGGGGGAUAACGCAGGGAAACUUGUGCUAAUACCGCAUAAUAUCAUUGUAUGGCAUCAUACGAUGAUCAAAGGAGCAAUCCGGUAUGAGAUGGGCCCGCGUCCGAUUAGCUAGUUGGUGGGGUAACAGCUCACCAAGGCGACGAUCGGUAGCCGAACUGAGAGGUUGAUCGGCCACAUUGGGACUGAGACACGGCCCAGACUCCUACGGGAGGCAGCAGUGGGGAAUAUUGCGCAAUGGGGGGAAAAACCCCCUGACGCAGCAACGCCGCGUGAAGGAUGAAGGCCUUCGGGUUGUAAACUUCUGUCCUUGGUGAAGAGAAGAAGACGGUAGCCAAGGAGGAAGCCCCGGCUAACUACGUGCCAGCCGCAGC
rnacentral:rRNA from 1 species